UUCAAUAUAAAAUGUUCCUAUCAAACCGAUUGAAACGGCGAUUGAAGUCAAAGAAGCCAUCACAAAGUGUUACCAUUUUUUUAUGUAUUCUGUUUCUCUAUGCCUUUAUACGAAAAUCGAGGUUUUUCUAUUCAAUACCAGAUAUUCUCAAUGAACAACGACAGGAAAUUGCAGCAGAAAUGAAGGAUUUCAAUUAUACCCAAGAAAUGAUUGGUCUUUCUUCUCUAACGCCAGAAACUAAUGGACAGCAAAUUCAUAAUAUCAUUAUAUCGACAUGGAGAUCUGGUUCUACGUUUCUUGGUGA